UACGUAGGGGGCUAGCGUUAUCCGGAAUUACUGGGCGUAAAGAGCACGUAGGCGGGAACUUAAGUCAGGUGUGAAAGACCGUGGCUCAACCACGGGUAUGCAUUUGAAACUGGGUUUCUUGAGGGCAGGAGAGGAAAGCAGAAUUCCUGGUGUAGCGGUGAAAUGCGUAGAAAUCAGGAGGAAUACAGUGGCGAAGGCGGCUUUCUGGACUGACCCUGACGCUGAGGUGCGAAAGCGUGGGUAGCGAACAGGAUUAGAUACCCUGGUAGUCCCUGA
rnacentral:rRNA from 1 species